rnacentral:rRNA from 1 species
AGCGAACGCUGGCGGCAGGCUUAACACAUGCAAGUCGAGCGGGCCCUUCGGGGUCAGCGGCAGACGGGUGAGUAACGCGUGGGAACGUGCCCUUCGGUUCGGAAUAACUCAGGGAAACUUGAGCUAAUACCGGAUACGCCCUUAUGGGGAAAGGCUUGCUGCCGAAGGAUCGGCCCGCGUCUGAUUAGCUAGUUGGUGAGGUUACGGCUCACCAAGGCGACGAUCAGUAGCUGGUCUGAGAGGAUGAUCAGCCACACUGGGACUGAGACACGGCCCAGACUCCUACGGGAGGCAGCAGUGGGGAAUAUUGGACAAUGGGGGCAACCCUGAUCCAGCCAUGCCGCGUGAGUGAUGACGGCCUUAGGGUUGUAAAGCUCUUUUCUCCGGGACGAUAAUGACGGUACCGGAGGAAUAAGCCCCGGCUAACUUCGUG